UACGUAGGUGGCGAGCGUUGUCCGGAUUUACUGGGCGUAAAGGGAGCGUAGGCGGACUUUUAAGUGAGAUGUGAAAUACUCGGGCUCAACUUGAGUGCUGCAUUUCAAACUGGAAGUCUAGAGUGCAGGAGAGGAGAAUGGAAUUCCUAGUGUAGCGGUGAAAUGCGUAGAGAUUAGGAAGAGCACCAGUGGCGAAGGCGAUUCUCUGGACUGUAACUGACGCUGAGGCUCGAAAGCGUGGGGAGCAAACAGG
rnacentral:rRNA from 1 species